UACGAAGGGGGCUAGCGUUGCUCGGAAUGACUGGGCGUAAAGGGCGCGUAGGCGGCCGAUUAAGUCGGGGGUGAAAGCCUGUGGCUCAACCACAGAAUUGCCUUCGAUACUGAUUGGCUUGAGACCGGAAGAGGUAAGUGGAACUGCGAGUGUAGAGGUGAAAUUCGUAGAUAUUCGCAAGAACACCAGUGGCGAAGGCGGCUUACUGGUCCGGUUCUGACGCUGAGGCGCGAAAGCGUGGGGAGCAAACAGG
rnacentral:rRNA from 1 species